ACCCUCUCUCUAUUCUAGAGAGUUCCAAACGCUCUGCCUUCUCUCUACUUUCUAUCUCUACAUUUUCCAUGAUUUCUCGGUCUAAUAUCAAUGUUUUCAUGGUAUCAGAGCCUAGAUGAUGAUCCGAUUGUGUUUCUCUACAUCUGGUUGUCUUGGUUGAACUCUUUUUGAAAUUUUUUUUGGGGAUUUUUCUGAGACCUUAUGGUCGAUGAUGCUUC
rnacentral:lncRNA from 1 species